GGAGACAGGAGUGAAUGAUAUCCAGGCUUUAUCUGUUCAUUUUCACCACGUGUUCUUUCAGUCUCACAUCCACACGCCCACUGAUCUCUGCUUCAUCAGUGAGACAGCGUCGUGACCAGGAAAAUAUAUACAACAUAUAUAAAGGGACACACACCAGUGGCUCCUCACACAGCAAGCCACCAGCAGUCGGGUGUCCUGCCACCACUGACAGCCCCAGCACACCUCUUGCCCCUCAACAUGUGGCGCAUCAUCCUGCUUCUGCUCGUGGUGAUGGUGGUGGUGACGGCAACCACAGCCAACGGAAACCCACAAAAUUUUCCAGUGCAUUUCCUUAUUAGCGGUACACAUGGUCAUCUUCGUGAUGGAAAACAUAACACUAUAAUGAACAGUAGCAACACAUCCCUAUCACUCCACCAGUGACCACCACUCUGCCGCCAUCACCACCACCACCACCAUUAUGAACGACCCUUUACCUUCUCUCUCCUAUCCCUUAUUCUUUUAAUUUUCCCUAAUCACACACCUAUGAAUUUAAAGUAUGAACGUAAUUUUUGUAACUUUAAAAUAUGCAGAGGAUCCUCUCUCUCUCUCUCUCUCUCUCUCUCUCUCUCUCUCUCUCUCUCUCUCUCUCUC